GAAAACUAGAAGCUGAGGCAUGAGUUUGGUCACUCCGUAGUGUGCACUUGGUGAGGGCAGCAGCUGGCCACAGCUGCCAGCCGUCUGUCCAUUCGCCCAUCUGUCCAUCUGGCAGCCCGCUGUUCAGACCUGUCUGUCUGUCCGCCCAUCUGUAAGCCCAUCUCUGUCCCAUUGUCUAUCUGACCAUCUUUCUCUUACUGUCCUCUUUGUCUAGCUAUCUGGCCUGUCUGUCGAUCCAUCUUCGUGUCUGUCUUCAGCCCCCACCUGUUUGUCCAUCUGUCCAAUUACCUGUGAGUCUAUCUAUGCAUCUUCUUGUCCAUUCAUCUGCCCACCCAUCUGUCCCUCCGUCUGCCCACCGGCCUCCCCUCUCCUUCUGGGCCGCAGAGCCACGGCCCAGGACUGCAGAGCCAUGGUUGGCCUGGUCCUGCUGGGGCUGGGGCUGGCGCUGGCUGUCAUUGUGCUGGCUGUGGUCCUCUCUCGACACCAGGCCCCAUUUGACCCCCGGCCUUUGCCCACGCCGCUGUUGCUGCUGACUCCAAGGUCUGCUCGGAUAUUGGACAGUGAGUGAGAUGUGGGAGGAAGCUGGGUGGCCCUUGGCAGCCAGCCCCUCCUGGAGAAGGCGUGUGUGUGUAAGCGUGUGUGUGUGUGAGAGAUUAUGUGUGUGUGUGUGGGUAUGUGAGUGUGAGUGUGGGGUGUGGGUGUGUGUAAAUGUGUGUGAUCGUGUUUGGGUG
rnacentral:lncRNA from 1 species